UACGUAGGGGGCAAGCGUUGUCCGGAUUUACUGGGCGUAAAGAGCGCGCAGGCGGUCGUUCAAGUCGCGUGUGAAAGCCCCCGGCUCAACUGGGGAGGGUCACGCGAUACUGAUCGACUCGAAGGCAGGAGAGGGAAGUGGAAUUCCCGGUGUAGUGGUGAAAUGCGUAGAUAUCGGGAGGAACACCAGUGGCGAAGGCGACUUCCUGGCCUGUUCUUGACGCUGAGGCGCGAAAGCUAGGGGAGCAAACAGG
rnacentral:rRNA from 1 species